ensembl:snRNA U6 U6 spliceosomal RNA
GUGCUCGCUUCAGCAGCACAUGCACUAAAAUUGGAAAGAUACAGAGAAGGUUAGCACAGCUGCUGAGCGAGAACGGCACACAAAUUCGUGAAGCAUUCCAUAUAUUA